AUGGGUGUCAUUGGACUCAUUGUGACGUGUAUGUUUCAUUGUUGAUAGUGGGUUGUCAUUCCGAGCGCUGAAUUCGAGAGUUACUUGUUCGGUGGAGGUAUUCGAGUGCGGUUUCGGCAAUUGAGAUACUAGUCGGGGUACCCCACGUGGCAGUUAAUAUUCUAGCGGAUUGUGUAUUCUCAGAUUAGUGGUGAGGUCCCAGAAUUCGGAUCGUCACUAGUCUAUCUUUAUUUUUCAGUCUUUUGUACCAUUCAGAGACUUAUGUUGUAUCUUCAGAUUCGAACCUUGUAUUAGAUGCUCUUUAUACUUAUGACACCA